UGCCAGGGAAACGGAAAGACCACCCAGUUUUAUGAUGGACAUAACAUACAUUACAGAACGUAUUAUCGUCCUGACUUUUCCUGAGUCCGGAACAGAUGCUACGUACAGGAGUAACUUAAAAGAAGUAACUCGUAUGCUUCGAA